AGCCUUAUUGCGGGGGCCAUACCAGGGGCAUUCAUGUUGCUGCCCUGUUGGAUUCUCUGAAUCUGAGACUGCUGCU
rnacentral:ribozyme from 1 species